rnacentral:rRNA from 1 species
CCUACGGGGUGCAGCAGUGGGGAAUAUUGGGCAAUGGGCGCAAGCCUGACCCAGCAACGCCGCGUGAAGGAAGAAGGCUUUCGGGUUGUAAACUUCUUUUAAGGGGGAAGAGCAGAAGACGGUACCCCUUGAAUAAGCCACGGCUAACUACGUGCCAGCAGCCGCGGUAAUACGUAGGUGGCAAGCGUUGUCCGGAUUUACUGGGUGUAAAGGGCGUGCAGCCGGAGAGACAAGUCAGAUGUGAAAUCCACGGGCUCAACCCGUGAACUGCAUUUGAAACUGUUUCCCUUGAGUGUCGGAGAGGUAAUCGGAAUUCCUUGUGUAGCGGUGAAAUGCGUAGAUAUAAGGAAGAACACCAGUGGCGAAGGCGGAUUACUGGACGAUAACCGACGGUGAGGCGCGAAAGCGUGGGGAGCAAACAGGAUUAGAUACCCGGGUAGUC